GGAGGACAAGACUAACAAGAAUGAGAAAAAUAAUGUGUUGCACUAUCAUGAUUGUUUCUCAUGGAGAAAGAGGAAGGUGCACUCUUCUUUGCUAUAGCAGAACUUCCUUUGUUUAAGCAGUCUGAGCAGAGAAGAUACAACCCAUCAUGAACCUUACCAAUCUCCAGAUGCCUCUUCAUAGAAGGGGUCUGCAGAAGACAUCAUGUGUUAGAGAAAGAAGCUAGACAUUUGAGAUGUGUUGUUAAUGAACUGAUAGAGAUAAGAUUGUAUUUGAAAGAAGGAACAAAUAGGCACAGUUCUCACUUCUGCUACUUUGACUUUGUAAGCAUUUGGUAGUUUCACAAGUAAAGGAUAUGAUAGUGCAAUUAUAUUCUGUAGGUAUGUCUUGUUAAAGGUCAUGUGGUAUGAAGCUCUUGAGUCUAGAAUCCAUAAGUCAGCCUUUGCUUGAAAGCGCUUGCAUGAGAGUUUGUCAAAAUCUAUAGAAGAAGUGCAAGUCACAAUACCUGCAAAGUUUCCUGCAAACUUUAUUGUUCCAUUGGCUGCAUUUGUAUUACUUGAAGUAUCUCCUGCACCAUCACUUUGGAAAUGUUGAAGCAGCCUCACUACUUGGUCAUAUUGCUCCUUUGAAAGAUUCAUGUUUUGGUUAUUGUUACUUCCCUGAUGCUCCAGAUCUUCUCCUUGGUUUGUCAUUGCAUCUGGUGGCAUGCCUUGCACACCAGUUACAGCAUUUGCUGCAAUACUCUUUCCUUUGUUAUUCCUGGGAUACUGAUUGUGAUUUUGGGUAUUCAAAUUAUGGUUCUAGGCUUCUUGUCGAUUGAAGUUUUGUGGAUAUCCAUAAAGUUUGAAACAUUUGUCUUUGGUGUGUCCUAGUAUUUUGCAAAAGUCACAAAAGGGCCUGGGCCUAGUGUUGUUUACUGAGUAAUUUGUUCUGAAUCCUCUUGGAGUUGUUGUACCAGCAUUCAUUGCAGUAGAUUCAAAAUUCAGUUGAUUUCUAGGUCAAAAUUCUCUUUGUUUCUCCUCUUGCACCAGAAGUGCAAAGGCUUGUGCCAUUGAAGGCAAGAGAUUCAACAUCAGUAUGCUCCCUCGAACUAUAGUAUAAACCUCUUUCAAAGCCAUCAGAAAUUGUAUCAAUCUUCUGUCCUGUUCAACUUUGUGCAUGUUUUCCUUUGCAUCACAGGUACACUGACAGCUGCAGAGGGAUUUUGCUCUGAGAUUGGUUAACUCUUCCCAUAGUUUCUUCAUUUUAGUAUAGUAUCCAGUAAUGGCGGGUACUCCUUGACUCAAAUCAUCAAUCUCCUUUUGGAUCUGGUAUAGUUUUGCCCCAUUUGUUUGAUCAUAAUGAUCUUCAAUUCUUUUUACAAUUCAACUGAAUUAUUCACAUACUCUACACUAUCCGCAAUAUCUUUAGCAAGUGAAUUCAAAAUCCAUGAAGUUACCAUAUCGCCACGUCUCUCCCAUUAUCUAAAGUUUAACGACUUCGAAUUAGGUUUUUCACAUUCCCCAGUGACGAAACCUAAUUUGUUCUUAAUAGAGAGGGCCCUCAAUACACCUCUCCUCCAUGAAAGAUAUACUAGCCCAUCAAAAGGAACUAGAACUAAAACCAGUCCAGGACUGUCAGAAGGAUGAAUAUAAAGCGGACUACUUACAUCGAUUGUCGAUUGGAUCUUUGCUGUUGUCACAGUAAUAGUAUUUGGGUCGUCUACCGCCAUGAUUAGUUUAGCUUGAAGCAGAAAAUGAAAGAGGACAAACACCGAUUGAACGAGUGAAUGAAGAUGUAGAGAACCUCAAUUAAAUGAGUGCAGCUUCGAUUUGUUUGUUUGCUUGAGGAUUGAUAUCACACCAAAAUGAACCCUAAUUUUGAGCACGAAGACGGCAGUACCCUGCGCAAUUCAAUUAUACGGAUCGCUUAGUCGUGAUAACUGCUCUGAUACCAUGUCAAGCUUUGGAAUUACAAGCUUAUAAAGCUUCACAGCUACAAUGGAGGAAGCAAUUAGAAGCUUACAGAAUAUCGAUUGAAGAAGAGGAGAAACAGAGAUGAAGUCUCUAAUUGAGAAAAGUGAAACUCAAACUCAAUUAUGCUGCAGAGUAGUUCUUAUAUACAGUGAGUACUAAGCUAACUAACUAAUCCGGAAAUGACAACUAAUAGACAGCUAAGCAUUAACUAACAACCAACUAACAGCUAAUAAUAACUGACUAAAGCAACAAUAAUAACUAACUACUGAAUAAAUACAAUUCUAAUCUUAAUAAAAACUACUCCAAAUCAUUGAUUGAGUCGAUAGUGAUAUGACACAAUGGAGCUUAUAUAGGAACUUGAUCUCUCUCAUAAUGCUUAGCAUCGCUUAUGUUAAAGAGCACACAUGCCUUUCACAUGAGUGGCAACACAAAAAUAAAAAGCUUGAAAGUUUGUCCGUAAAAUAAGGUCCCAAAUUGACCUGUGUUUUUGCAUCUCUUCAUAAUCUAGCUCUGAAUCUUCUCUUAAAUGACUGUGUUGAUCUUUGCAAAGAGUUCCAUGAGUUCUGGAGGAAUUGAAGAUUUCAAGUUGCCGUAAUUCCUUCUAAAUUCCUGUUCCCAAUGGACAAUAUCGUUUGACUUCUCUCCGAUUGGUUUCUAUAGAUGGUUCUAAUGAAAUUAGCAGUUUGUCAAGUGGAAUGCUAGAGUGUUGUCCGUUCUUUUGAGCAUUUGACAAUGGGUCCUUUCGAGCUUCCUACGUCUUCUAACUUUUUCUUAUAAAUCACCUUUAAUACAUUUUUUGCCACAAGGAAUAUAAUGACUUUGUUUGCUUGUAAAUGGAAAUCAAAUCUUGCAAAUAUCCAUAUUCUUACUCCAUAUCACUUGCCAACAUUUAUAGUGUAACACUAACUGUAUACCCUAUCAUACACCUUGCACCCUUACUAUAUGUUAUGUACUUCUAUUAUACCUAAACAACCACGGGAAAAUAUUUUUGUUGGAAUUAUUUUCCUUUAUAAGAAACACAACUGAGUUUACUCAUAUGGUCUUAUUGGCUAAUGUUUGAUAUAAUCCAGUUGUUGUUACUUCCGUGAUGUGAUGAGUCGAGUAUUUCAAAUGAUUAUUGUAAAGACCCGAGCGACCAUUUUGAGAUUUGUAGCUCAGUUCCCCCAUUUACUGCUCAUUUCAUGCUUUUCAGUUGUUAUAUGACUCGCUGGGGUAGUUGGUUCGGGUCCGGAGAAGUUUCGGAAUUAAUUGAGACACUUAGUCUCAAAGUUGGAAGCUUAAGUUAAAAAGGUUGACCGGAUGUUGACUUAUAUGUAAACAACUCAGGAUUGGAGUUUUGAUGGUUCCGUUAGCUCCGUUGGAUGAUUUUGAACUUAGGAGCUUAUCCGGAUUGUGUUUUGGAGGUCCGUAGUUGAAUUAGGCUUGAAAUGGUGAAAAUUGGAAAUUUGGAAGUUUGACCGAGAGUGGACUUUGUGAUUACUAGGCUUGGAUUGGAGUUCUAGGAGUUGGAGCAGGUCUGUGGUGUCAUUUGUGACUUGUGUGCAAAUUUUAGGGUCAAUCGGACGUGAUUUAAUAGGUUUCGGUGUCGUUUGUUGAAGUUGGAAUUCCUUAGUUUCAAUAGGCUUGAAUUGGGGUGUGAUUCGUGUUUUUGAUGUUGUUUGAGGUGAUUCGAGGGCUCGACUAAGUUCAUAUCGUGUUUUAGGACUUGUUGGUACGUUUGGUUGAGGUCCGGGGGACAUUGGGUUGAUUUCAGAAGGUUAACGAAUCGAAAAUGAGACUUAGUACGUUGCUGAAGUUGGGAGUUUUCUAGUGUAAUCGCACCUGCGAGGGGUUGGCCGCAGGUGCGGCUGGAUCGGUGUAGAAGCGAGGUUGGCUUAAGCUGAGGGAUUUCCAUAGGUAUGAAAGAUUUGUCCGCACUUGUGAGGUCGCAGAUGCGGAGAGGCAUAACAGGUGCGCAUAUGAGAGAGGAAGCCUAAAGGCGCAGGUGGAAAGUAAAUCCGCCGGUGCGGAUGCGCAUCUACGCAUGAGAGACCGCAGAAGCGGAGGUGGUCUGGGGGUUCUAGUUCGCAGAAGCGGGAUUGCAGAUACGGUCAAAUGGAGCGCAGGUGCGAGACCCCUGGACAGAACCUUAAAUUCAAGGGUUCACGAUUUUUCUUCAUUUUGAACAUUUCAAACUCGAGAUUGAGCGAUUUUUAAGAGGAUUUUCGAGGGGUUUCUUGAGGUAAGUCACUUGUGCUCAUUUUUGUUUGAUAGUCUUGUUUCCCCAUUGAAUUUCCCGCCUAGUUUGUGUGUAUUUAAGGUGGAAGUUGGGAGUUAGGUAUUUGGAGAGUUUGAUUUGGGAUUUGGGUGGAGAUUUGGUGUCGGAUUUUGGUAAAUUUGGUAUGGUUAGAUUUGUGGUUGAAUGGGCUUUCGGAUUUUGUGACUUUUAUCGAAUUUCGAGACGUGAGCUUUGAGUCAACUUUUGACUUUUGAUUGAUAACUUAGUGUUUUCUUAUGGAAUUAAUUUACCGAACUGCUUGUGGGCUCGUGUUGAUUGUACCGAACUGCUUGUGGCUACAUUCAGAUAUUUGGAGGCCGAUUCGCGAGGCAAGAGCAUGUUGGAGUAGGGAUUUGCACGAUUUGAGGUAAGUAACAGCUCUAAAUUUGGUUUUGAGGGUACGAAACCCCGUAUUAUGUGUCAUGUGAUUGAUUUUGAGGUGACCCACAUGCUAGGUGACGGGCGUGUGGGCGUGCACCAUAAGAAUUGUAACUUUGCUAAUUCUAUAUAACUUUAUAGUUGAAUAAUAUGUUGUUCUCCGUAUAUUCUCCAUGUGUUAGAGAAAUUGAACUACAAAUCAUGUCAGAAAUCAUGUUUAGGCUAUGUGUUGGUACUGUAGGGACCCACGGAGGCCGUGUUGCAUGUUGAAUUAUCUGCUAAUUGCUUCUUGUAAUCAGUCACAGUUUACUUGCAUAUUAUAUCUCAGUCUCUAUUGUUCUUCAUUGAUGCAUUAUAUCAUUGUUGUUUGGGCUGAUUAUCAUGAUUUCUGAGAGUACGAGAGACUGGAUAGGUUGAUGACUGAGUGAGGUCGAGGGCCUGCUUGUGAGGAUAUUUAUGGGAUCGGGUUGCACGCCGCAUCAUGUUUUAUUGAUUUAUGCCAUUAUUGGCUUAUUACAGUGCUUGGCCUGAGGGAGCUCCUUCGGAGUCUGUACACCCCCCCCCCAAUGAACGCAGGUAUCUGCUGAGUGUGAGUGACAAACGCAAGUGUCGAGCGACUGAGAGGAAUGGAAGAAUGUGAGGAAUGAGUGACUGUGAGGUUGGAGUGAAUGGGAGGACUGAGUAAUUGUUACUCUAAGAUGAUGCAUUUGAUUUCAUUACUGUUGCACUUUAGAUGGCAUAUAUCAUUGUCCUGUAAUUUCUAAGAGAUAUUAUAUCCUGUUUUAAUUGAACUUGACAUGAAUUAACAGGUUUGGCCUUAAUUUCGAACUUGAAAGCAUGUUGAUGUUUAGCUUAAAGCACACAUAUAUAUAUAUUUCUAUGUAUAUCGUCUCAUAUUUUACUUUUGUUUCGUGAAUUUAGGAUGUCAAAUCCUAUGACUUAUGUUAAUUUGAAGUGUUUUUAUGUGUAGGAAUGAUUCGGGAGCAAUUGGGGGCGAAACGCGCAACAUUUGAUCCAAAACGAACAAAACCGGACGAAUUGAGCAUUUGGGCGCCACAGGCAGCGCCUGGCGCCACCUGUGGCGCUGGAGGUAGAAUGGAAGUUUGAGGCAGUGCCCUGGUGGGAGCCUGGCGCUACCCAGGGUGCCGGUGACGUGAUUUUGUCCAAUUUCGCCUGGGACAAGGUUAUUUCAGCCCUAGACCUACCCAACACGUAUAAAAGCAAGACUAAAUAUAUUUUUGGAGGGGAGACGCCACUUUGGAGAUAUCUAACAUACUUUGAAGGGGAAUUCACGUGGAGGAAGACACAUCACGCCUGGAGGAGGCUUCUAACUAGUUUUUCUUCUCUUCUCUUCCUUUAAUUUCAUAGUUUAUUAGUUUUAGAGUUUUGGGUGCUACAUGAACGUUGUAGUUUGAAGCUUAGAUUGUUCUUAUUAUUUUAUCAUAUUGGUUUAUUUAUUUAAUCUUUGUCACACCUCCCUUUUUCUUCACCCCCCUCCCGAGAGGGUAUAAGGGAGUUUUUCCAAUUUAAGUGACAAUCGAAACGAGAUNNNNNNNNNNNNCUUGAUUUUAAUACAUAUUUUAGCCUAUGGUUCAAUUUUAACCUUAUAACCGCUUUUAUUUAAAUAUUUUUAAGGAAGAAUCAACGUCAUCUAAAACACAUCUUGAACCUGUCACAUAAAUGCACCCGCGGUCCACGACACAUUUUAUUUAACGUUGUUGAGAUUUGGAUUUGGGUCACAUAAAUGCACACCCGAGUUUAGGAAGGUAAAUUAUUAAACUAACGCGCCUAAAGCAACUACGAAAUUCAUUUUUUUAACGGCAUAAGUAUGCUCCUAACAAUCAAAUUACUAAAUCAGAACCAGAGAAUUCCAGCAGAAAAUUAUUUGUACAGGAGCUUGAAUUGUUUAACCUGCAAUUCUGUAACAUUACGCGUAGACCGAGAUUCCACCAUAAUUUGAGCCAAAAGAAGCUGCCUCUCUCAGAAUAAACUAGGAAGAAAUUUAAGGGACUAAGACCAUGACCCUCAUUCACUUACUGAUGGCUGGAAAUUGAACAUGCACAUCACGCAAAUGCAACAAAUAUAAUGGGAAGUGAAAAUCGACCAAGAAUGUAUAAAGGCAUUUAUUAUGGUUCAGCUCAGUCCCUAUGUUGCUGUCCAACAAUAUACCGUUGAGUAAAGGGAAUUCACUAUAGGAGAACUUCAAGUUCAUUAAGUAACAUGAACUCAACAACACUAUACAUCAGCAAGGCACAAAUAUAAAAAUCGGAAUCAGAAAUGGACCUGAGUGAAGCAAUAUCAAACUUGCAAUAUAUAAAUGUCCUUUAGGAAAGUUGAAUAACAGCUACUACAACACGUCCGCGAUGGAAGACCUCGUCGGAAACCUCGACGCACCUCUGACCGGAAACGGAACCUCAACAAAAGACCGGCGAUAACCUCGAACUAAAAUGACGCCAGUACCACAGCAAUGGCGACACUGGAGCAACAAUCGACGUGACACACACGAAGAACUCGCCAGAAAAAUAACUCUGGCCAAACUCGACACAAAACGUCACAAAAUCUAGGACUUGAAAGAUCUCAACUCGUCCGACGUAGAAGUACAACACACUAGUUUAUUUGAAACCCGUUUUUAGAGCUAACAUCAGAGAUUGGGAGUGAAGAAAGCAGAACAUUUUUGUUUUUGACUCUGUGUGUGGAGGUCGACAGUCUUCAUGGAGUCUCGCCGGUUUUCAUGGUGUUGUCCUCAUGAAGAAGAAAACCAGGUUAGGGGGGAAGGGUCGUGUAUUCCGGUUGAAGAAGAAGCCGAACGUGGGAUCGUUGUUUGGGUGUAACGGCGGGUUCGCCGCUGGUGGUAAGAGGAGGAGUGAAGGGUCGUGUGGGGUGGGGGAAAUAGAGAAGACGAUGUCAGGGGGGUAGGUCCGAUCUGCGGCGCUGAUUUUGAUUAAAGUCUUAGGCUAGCGUAUUUUUUGUGUGUCCUCAUUUCAGGCGUUAGUCUACAUUGUAUAGGUCUAGG
rnacentral:lncRNA from 1 species